AAAGGUAUAGCUCAGUGGUAGAACACAUGCUUAGCAUGCACAAGGUCCUGGGUUCAAACCCCAGUACCUCCA
rnacentral:tRNA from 1 species